GGGACACGUGGUAUCCUGUCUGAAUAUGGGGGGACCAUCCUCCAAGGCUAAAUACUCCUGACUGACCGAUAGUGAACCAGUACCGUGAGGGAAAGGCGAAAAGAACCCCGGCGAGGGGAGUGAAAAAGAACCUGAAACCGUGUACGUACAAGCAGUGGGAGCACGCUUAGGCGUGUGACUGCGUACCUUUUGUAUAAUGGGUCAGCGACUUAUAUUCUGUAGCAAGGUUAACCGAAUAGGGGAGCCGAAGGGAAACCGAGUCUUAACUGGGCGUUAAGUUGCAGGGUAUAGACCCGAAACCCGGUGAUCUAGCCAUGGGCAGGUUGAAGGUUGGGUAACACUAACUGGAGGACCGAACCGACUAAUGUUGAAAAAUUAGCGGAUGACUUGUGGCUGGGGGUGAAAGGCCAAUCAAACCGGGAGAUAGCUGGUUCUCCCCGAAAGCUAUUUAGGUAGCGCCUCGUGAAUUCAUCUCCGGGGGUAGAGCACUGUUUCGGCAAGGGGGUCAUCCCGACUUACCAACCCGAUGCAAACUGCGAAUACCGGAGAAUGUUAUCACGGGAGACACACGGCGGGUGCUAACGUCCGUCGUGAAGAGGGAAACAACCCAGACCGCCAGCUAAGGUCCCAAAGUCAUGGUUAAGUGGGAAACGAUGUGGGAAGGCCCAGACAGCCAGGAUGUUGGCUUAGAAGCAGCCAUCAUUUAAAGAAAGCGUAAUAGCUCACUGGUCGAGUCGGCCUGCGCGGAAGAUGUAACGGGGCUAAACCAUGCACCGAAGCUGCGGCAGCGACGCUUAUGCGUUGUUGGGUAGGGGAGCGUUCUGUAAGCCUGUGAAGGUGUGCUGUGAGGCAUGCUGGAGGUAUCAGAAGUGCGAAUGCUGACAUAAGUAACGAUAAAGCGGGUGAAAAGCCCGCUCGCCGGAAGACCAAGGGUUCCUGUCCAACGUUAAUCGGGGCAGGGUGAGUCGACCCCUAAGGCGAGGCCGAAAGGCGUAGUCGAUGGGAAACAGGUUAAUAUUCCUGUACUUGGUGUUACUGCGAAGGGGGGACGGAGAAGGCUAUGUUGGCCGGGCGACGGUUGUCCCGGUUUAAGCGUGUAGGCUGGUUUUCCAGGCAAAUCCGGAAAAUCAAGGCUGAGGCGUGAUGACGAGGCACUACGGUGCUGAAGCAACAAAUGCCCUGCUUCCAGGAAAAGCCUCUAAGCAUCAGGUAACAUCAAAUCGUACCCCAAACCGACACAGGUGGUCAGGUAGAGAAUACCAAGGCGCUUGAGAGAACUCGGGUGAAGGAACUAGGCAAAAUGGUGCCGUAACUUCGGGAGAAGGCACGCUGAUAUGUAGGUGAAGUCCCUUGCGGAUGGAGCUGAAAUCAGUCGAAGAUACCAGCUGGCUGCAACUGUUUAUUAAAAACACAGCACUGUGCAAACACGAAAGUGGACGUAUACGGUGUGACGCCUGCCCGGUGCCGGAAGGUUAAUUGAUGGGGUCAGCGCAAGCGAAGCUCUUGAUCGAAGCCCCGGUAAACGGCGGCCGUAACUAUAACGGUCCUAAGGUAGCGAAAUUCCUUGUCGGGUAAGUUCCGACCUGCACGAAUGGCGUAAUGAUGGCCAGGCUGUCUCCACCCGAGACUCAGUGAAAUUGAACUCGCUGUGAAGAUGCAGUGUACCCGCGGCAAGACGGAAAGACCCCGUGAACCUUUACUAUAGCUUGACACUGAACAUUGAGCCUUGAUGUGUAGGAUAGGUGGGAGGCUUUGAAGUGUGGACGCCAGUCUGCAUGGAGCCGACCUUGAAAUACCACCCUU
rnacentral:rRNA from 1 species